rnacentral:rRNA from 1 species
UUGAUCCUGGCUCAGGAUGAACGCUGGCGGUGUGGAUAAGGCAUGCAAGUCGAGCGGUUCGAUUUCGUCGCAAGACGAAAUCGAAUAGCGGCGAACGAGUUAGUAACACGUAGGAACUCACCCCAAAGACGGGAAUAACCCUCCGAAAGGAGGACUAAUACCCGAUGGCAUGAAGGUCAAAAUCUUCAUUAAAGUCGCAAGACGCUUUGGGAGAGGCCUGCGGGCUAUCAGCUAGUUGGUAGGGUAAUGGCCUACCAAGGCGAUGACGGCUAGGGGGCGCGAGAGCGUGUUCCCCAACGUAAGGGACUGAGACACGGCCCUAACUCCUACGGGAGGCAGCAGUCGAGAAUAUUUCGCAAUGGGCGAAAGCCUGACGAAGCGACACCGCGUGAAGGAAGAAGGCCCUCGGGUCGUAAACUUCUUUUGACAGAGAACAAGCCGCAAGGUUGAGCGUAUCUGUAGAAUAAGGCGCUGCUAACUUCGUGCCAGCAGCAGCGGUAAUACGAAGGCGCCAAGCGUUAUCCGGAUUUAUUGGGCGUAAAGAGUUCAAAGGGGGUCAUGUUAGUCCGAUGUNCAAGCUCGCAACUCAAUUGCGAAAGCGCGUCGGAAACGGCAUGACUUGAGGAAAUUAGAGGCAAGUAGAACGGCUGGUGUAGGGGUGAAAUCCGUUGAUAUCAGCCGGAAUACCAAAGGCGAAGGCAUCUUGCUGGAAUUUUCCUGACCCUGAAAGAACGAAAGCGUGGGUAGCGAAUGGGAUUAGAUACCCCAGUAGUCCACGCCCUAAACGAUGACAACUAGCUUUUCGGAGUAUCAACCCUCUGAGAGGCGAAGCUAACGCGUUAAGUUGUCCGCCUGGGUAGUACGGCCGCAAGGCUAAAACUCAAAGGAAUAGACGGGGACUUGUACAAGCAGUGGAUUAUGCGGUUUAAUUCGAUGUCGAACGAAGAACCUUACCAGGGUUAGAAAUCUAAGUGAAGAUACGCAGAAACGUGUGUCGUCCGCAAGGACAGUUAGACAGGUGAUGCAUGGCCGUCGUCAGUUCGUGGUUUGAAUUGUUCCCUUAAGUGGGGUAACGAACGCAACCCUCGUUGCCAGUUACAAGUGUCUGGCGAGACUGCCCCCGUUUUUGUUCAGAAAUUUUUUGUGGACAAAAACGGGGGAGGAAGGCGAGGAUGACGCCAGGUCAGCAUGUCCCUUGAUACCCUGGGCUACACGCAUAAUACAAUCGCCACUACAACAGGUUGCGACGGAGUAAUCCUGAGCUAAUCCUAAGAAAAGCGGCGUCAGUUCGGAUAGGGGGCUGCAACUCGACCCCUUGAAGCCGGAAUUGCUAGUAAUCGCGGGUCAGCUAUACCGCGGUGAAUACGUUCUCAAGUCUUGUACUCACCGCCCGUCAAGUCAGGGAAGUUGGGAGUGCUCAAAGUCUCACUUAUGUGAGCCUACGGUAAACUCAAUGACAAGGACUAAG